CUUUUUGAAAAUAAUUUAAGGUCUGACCUGCCCAAUGAAAAAUUCAAUGGCCGCAGUAUUUUAACUGUGCAAAGBUAGCAUAAUCAUUAGUUUCUUAAUUAGGGGCUUGUAUGAAGGGUUGAAUGAAAAAAUAGCUGUCUCUAUUUAAAUUAAUUAGAAUUUUAUUUUUAAGUUAAAAAGCUUAAAUUUGUAUUGAAGACGAGAAGACCCUAUAGAGUUUAAUAUUAAAAUUAUCUUGAAUUUUUAGUAUUUAAAAAUCUUGGUUUAUUUAGUAUUUGAUUGGGGUGAUUAAGAAAUUAAUUGAACUUUCUUUUUAUCUAAUCAUUGAUUUAUGAAUAAUUGAUCCUUUUUAAAAGAUUAUAAGAUAAAAUUACCUUAGGGAUAACAGCGUAAUUUUUUUUAAGAGCUCUAAUCGAAAAAAAAGAUUGCGNCCUCGAUGUUGGAUUAAAAUGAAAUUUUGGCGUAGCAGUUAAA
rnacentral:rRNA from 1 species